UAGGGAAUCUUCCGCAAUGGACGCAAGUCUGACGGAGCAACGCCGCGUGAGUGAAGAAGGAUUUCGGUUCGUAAAACUCUGUUGUUAGAGAAGAACAGCGCAUAGAGUAACUGUUAUGCGUGUGACGGUAUCUAACCAGAAAGCCACGGCUAACUACGUGCCAGCAGCCGCGGUAAUACGUAGGUGGCAAGCGUUGUCCGGAUUUAUUGGGCGUAAAGCGAGCGCAGGCGGUUAAUUAAGUCUGAUGUGAAAGCCCCCGGCUCAACCGGGGAGGGUCAUUGGAACCUGGUUGACUUGAGUGCAGAAGAGGAGAGUGGAAUUCCAUGUGUAGCGGUGAAAUGCGUAGAUAUAUGGAGGAACACCAGUGGCGAAGGCGACUCUCUGGUCUGUAACUGACGCUGAGGCUCGAAAGCGUGGGUAGCAAACAGG
rnacentral:rRNA from 1 species